rnacentral:rRNA from 1 species
GGACCCCACUGCUAUCGGGAUGGGACUAAGACAUGCUAGUUGUGCGUCUCUAAGCCAUGGUGAGACGCAGCGCACAGCUCAGUAACACGUGGCUAACCUGCCCUUGGGACGGGGACAACCCCGGGAAACUGGGGAUAAUUCCUGAUAGACGAGGACUCCUGGAAUGGAUCUUCGUUGAAAAGGCGUCUGGAGCAUGCUUCUAGGCGUUGCCCAAGGAUGGAGCCGCGGCCGAUCAGGUUGUUGGUGAGGUAACAGCUCACCAAGCCUUUAACCGGUACGGGCCGUGGGAGCGGUAGCCCGGAGAUGGGCACUGAGAUAAGGGCCCAGGCCCUACGGGGCGCAGCAGUCGCGCAAACUCCGCAAUACACGAAAGUGUGACGGGGCUAUCCCGAGUGCCGUCCGCUGAGGAUGGCUUUUCCACGCUGUAAGGAGGCGUGGGAAUAAGGAGAGGGCAAGACUGGUGUCAGCCGCCGCGGUAAUACCAGCUCUCCGAGUGGUGGGGAUGCUUAUUGGGCCUAAAGCAUUCGUAGCCGGUUCGGCAAGUCCUCCGUUAAAUCCAGCGAUUCAAUCGUUGGACUGCGGGGGAUACUGCUGGGCUAGGGGGCGGGAGAGGCCGACGGUAUCCUCGGGGUAGGGGUGAAAUCCUAUAAUCCCGGGUAGACCACCAGUGGCGAAGGCUGUCGGCUAGAACGCGCCCGACGGUGAGGGAUGAAAGCUGGGGGAGCGAACCGGAUUAGAUACCCGGGUAGUCCCAGCUGUAAACGAUGCAGGCUAGGUGUUGGAGCGGCUACGAGCCGCUUCGGUGCCGCAGGGAAACCGUUAAGCCUGCCGCCUGGGGAGUACGGCCGCAAGGCUGAAACUUAA